rnacentral:rRNA from 1 species
UACAGAGGUCCCGAGCGUUGUUCGGAUUUAUUGGGCGUAAAGGGUGCGUAGGUGGCAAAGUAAGUUGGAUGUGAAAUCCUGGGGCUCAACCUCAGAAUUGCAUUCAAUACUGCUUAGCUAGAGAGCUGUAGAGGAGACUGGAAUUUACGGUGUAGCAGUGAAAUGCGUAGAUAUCGUAAGGAACGCCAGUGGCGAAAGCGAGUCUCUGGGCAGCAUCUGACACUGAGGCACGAAGGCCAGGGGAGCAAACGGGG